UACGAAGGGGGCAAGCGUUGUUCGGAAUUACUGGGCGUAAAGGGCGCGUAGGCGGCUUACCAAGUCAGGCGUGAAAUUCCCGGGCUCAACCUGGGGGCUGCGCUUGAUACUGGUGAGCUUGAGUCCGGGAGAGGUGAGUGGAACUCCGAGUGUAGAGGUGAAAUUCGUAGAUAUUCGGAAGAACACCAGUGGCGAAGGCGGCUCACUGGCCCGGUACUGACGCUGAGGUGCGAAAGCGUGGGGAGCAAACAGG
rnacentral:rRNA from 1 species